AGUGAACGCUGGCGGUAGGCCUAACACAUGCAAGUCGAACGGCAGCACAGUAAGAGCUUGCUCUUACGGGUGGCGAGUGGCGGACGGGUGAGGAAUACAUCGGAAUCUACUUUUUCGUGGGGGAUAACGUAGGGAAACUUACGCUAAUACCGCAUACGACCUACGGGUGAAAGCAGGGGAUCUUCGGACCUUGCGCGAUUGAAUGAGCCGAUGUCGGAUUAGCUAGUUGGCGGGGUAAAGGCCCACCAAGGCGACGAUCCGUAGCUGGUCUGAGAGGAUGAUCAGCCACACUGGAACUGAGACACGGUCCAGACUCCUACGGGAGGCAGCAGUGGGGAAUAUGGGACAAUGGCGCAAGCCUGAUCCAGCCAUACCGCGUGGGUGAAGAAGGCCUUCGGGUUGUAAAGCCCUUUUGUUGGGAAAGAAAAGCAGCAGGUUAAUACCCCGCUGUUCUGACGGUACCCAAAGAAUAAGCACCGGCUAACUUCGUG
rnacentral:rRNA from 1 species